UACGUAGGGGGCAAGCGUUGUCCGGAAUUAUUGGGCGUAAAGCGCGCGCAGGCGGUUAUUUAAGUCUUAUGUUUAAACCUGGGGCUCAACCUCGGGACGCAUGGGAAACUGGGUAACUUGAGUGUAGGAGAGGAAAGUGGAAUUCCACGUGUAGCGGUGAAAUGCGUAGAGAUGUGGAGGAACACCAGUGGCGAAGGCGGCUUUCUGGUCUGUAACUGACGCUGAGGCGCGGAAGCGUGGGGAGCAAACAGG
rnacentral:rRNA from 1 species